UACGUAGGGACCGAGCGUUGUUCGGAAUUACUGGGCGUAAAGGGUUUGUAGGUGGCUUGUUAAGUCAGACGUGAAAUCCCUCAGCUUAACUGGGGAACUGCGUCUGAGACUGGUGAGCUUGAGUGCAGGAGAGGAACGCGGAAUUCCAGGUGUAGCGGUGAAAUGCGUAGAUAUCUGGAGGAACACCGGUGGCGAAGGCGGCGUUCUGGACUGCAACUGACACUGAUGAACGAAAGCCAGGGGAGCAAACGGG
rnacentral:rRNA from 1 species